UUUAUAUUCAAUACAACUUAAGCUAUAGUCAUCUAUUUAAAUUCGCUUGAUAACAAUAUGUUAUAUGUCUUGUCUUAAUGACCACACACUGAUUAAAUUGUUCCCAAAAAUUUAAAAAACACACACUUAUAAUUAUGUAUAUAUAUUGUAGCAAGACACAGCAUGCUCCCUCGCAUAUAUUUCGAUAACUCCCACCAUAUUUACCUGUCGGGUAACGUUGGCAAUGUGGGGUGCAGUGGGGUGUUUGGGUGUUUGCUUGUAAAAUAGAAUAAAAAAAUAGGAAAACUUCACUUCAAGUCCGGCCACCAAGCUACAAGGUGUGUCCGAAAACUAUUUGUUAAACUUGAUUUGGUGAAUUGAAUUAUUAUUAAUAAUAAAUCAAUAAUAAUUCAAUUCACCAAUGAAGAGCAAUUAUUUACAUUUGAACAAAUAGUUUUUAUAACAAAGCGCUUCUGCAAGUGAAUGUAUAUUGACCUGCACAUGUAUUUGCAGGCCACAAAGUUUAAUUCAAAUAUGGGGAUAAAAAUUUGCGUGCUUGCAAAAAUAUCGUACCGUACUUGUAUUUGUGAACAUCUCUGAAUUAGCUCCACUACAUGUGGAAAUUCCAACAAGCGAUUUGGAUUAUUUUAUAAGAUCUCACAAUGAAUUAUGGGAUAACAUCACAUAUUACGCCAAAGAUAAUCAAAAUCGAGUAUAUUCGAUAUCUUACUAAAUCGAGAAAUUGAAGUUGGGUUCGCAAAAUUGGAAAAGUUUGCUCGUGUCAUUAACAGUUUUGUGAGAAAUUACCGCUUUCAUCUUUGUUCUGGAUGUAACUUACUUGACGCACAAAACUGUAAAUGACACGAGCAAACUUUUUUCCAAUUUUGUUUAUCCAUCUUCCUACAUCGAAUAUUCUUCUUCUAGGGUUUCGAUAAUUUCAUUUUUCGGUUUCUCAUUUUCAAUUCGUUUCCAAUAUAAAAUACAUAUUAUUUCUUGACUUCGAGAAUUUGAUAUAGAACUCUGGGAACGGUAUAAUGAUCGCAAAAAAAUUUAUAUAUAAUAUCCAUCGUUCAGAUUACACGACAAAAUAAAUUCGUCAAAAUAAAUCCGGACAAAAUAAAUCUGGAUAAAA